ensembl:lncRNA
CUCAGUGACAAAAAGGAGGGUCUAGUGGAAAUGCUAAGUCACAGCUUGAAACAGUGAUUGAACACCUAGGUAGGAAGGCAGGGCCAACUCAGGGGAUGCAUUGCAUGCACCUGAGUGACCAGAAGGGGUGGAGCCAGGAUCCACCCCUUCCCAGACCUCAUUUAAGGGUUGGCAGUGGAGGCAAGGGCAUGUCUUACUGAAGAUCCCUGUCUACCUGAGGCCUUCCAAAGCUGUGCUGGCUGAAGACACUAUUGUUACUGGUCCAGUGUCAGCUGAACAGCAUCAACCAGGAUCGCCAUGCCUGCAGAUCUGCCAAUCAAGCAUCAAAGAACAAAAGCCAUCUGAAUUUUUCUUCAGCCUUCAAAGGUUAUGCUUUCAUCCUUGUAACACAUUCUACUAGGAAAAAUGAACCAAGGCUUUGACUUAGAGGAGGAGGGAUCUGAACAAUGUGAUGAAAAUGAAUUCCCAGCUAACCCUGAACUUGCACGGGAUUUGCUGCUCCACCUGGAUGCCUAUCAGUCAAGAUGUGAAAAAUGAAGCUGUAAGCCAAGUAGAUUGCUUGGGGAACUGGGAGAAAAGAUCUUUCUUCAGGUCCCACCCACAGGAGCACAUUUUCCAAGUGAUGCUAAGCAGAAGUCCGAAGGGGAACAGAAGAAGAGGCCAUACCAAGUUGAGCAAGGCCGUGGGCUGACAUCAUGAGUUGAGCUCAUAACUUGCUGUACCUAAGAGCCUUUUCUGCCUAUACUGUUACUAACUGGAAGGAAUGUGGGUAGAGGAGUCUGCAGAUUGACAAAGGUGAAAGGACUCAAGACUGGAAACACUUCAUUGGAAGAAUAAGAUUAAGAGCAAGGAUGUGACUCUAUUACCGCCACAGCUAUCAUGAGCCACUUUCAGAGACUGUCUGCUGAGCAAUUGCUGCUUCUCCAUACUUGUGUAUUUUAUCCAUCCUCCUUUUUCCCUCUUGCCCAGUUUUUGGGGAUUUUGUUUGUGUAUUUGUUUGGCACAGUGAAUGUAUUGUUGCACAUUUUCGUCCUCUGUGUAAAGUAUUUUUUUACAAAGUCAAAUAAUACAAGGCAUGAGCAGGGUCAGACACAACUGGUUCUCAUAUUCAGGUGCAUAGCAUCUGAGUGAUGUAUGUUGUCAUGUAAAUGUUCUAUCUAAUUUUUCAAAACUUUUUCAAUACUUUUAUAUCUAUUAUAAGAUCACAGUAUCAACAUUUUAACUAGAAAUAUGUUGAGCAGAUGGUGCAAAAAUAGAACCAUUAUUAUAUUUUUAAUGAAAAUUUCUGACCCUUAUCUUUCAGUUAUAAUGGGCUGAGGGCCUCUCUGUGGCUGUCCUUGAGCAUAAAAAGCCACAAAAUCUUACUGUAUCUGCUGUCUUAUGAUAUGAAUUAUUGAAAAUCAUGGUCAUGAUAAGAAUUGGUAAUUAUAAAUAUUACAAGUAUCAUUAUGUGGAAGGGAGAUAUUGCUGGUUUUCUUGAUGUAAAGAGAAUGACUUUUAUUUCCAAAGUGGUUAUAAAAAAAAUUAUUUACAACAUCACAUUCAUUAUAAUGUUUCAACAAAGACCUAUGACAAUUAAAAAAAAAAAAAAAACCUAAGAAGUAUAUAAAUUAACCAAAGAUAAGCCCACUAAAGCUAAGGGGAAAAAAAUCACAAUACUUUGGUGUAAUUUCAAAAGUCUUCAAGAUCAAAGGAAUGGAAAAAUAAGCACAUGAAGGAGAUACUGAACUACUAAUUCUUCUCUCCUUUUUUUUUUUUCUCAAAUCUUUCUGUCAGUUCAGCACUUGAAUUGGAUAGAAGUAUUAGUAUUAACUCACUGUUUAUAUUGGAUUAGAACAUUCCUGACUUUUACAGAGUCCAAGGUAAAUAUUUUAAACAGGCCCUUAUCAGAAUCAAUUUUCUUGAUGGCAUUGUUGUUUGUACAUUUUUCUUCAGCUGGCCAAAAUGCAUUUGAUUACCUCCAAUAAAUCCAGGGAGGAACAAAACAUUCUUUAAAAACGGAUCAAGAUAAUAUGAAUUUUUUCAAGGAUAUUUUAGCCUGAUUUCCUGUACUUGUGUGGUAACUUAAAUCAGAAGGAACUUCAGGUUUAGCUGGCUGAACACAGGGAAGAACCUCUUUAUUAUGUCUGCACUUGUUAGAAUGAGUUGAAUUUAGUCAUGGAUAAGUUUCAUAUGAGUAUAUUAAU